UACACUUACCAUCGCUUACUAUCACCACUUACUACCUAUACCUACCCAAUCUAUAUCUAUACCAACUCACUACGAAGCUGGCUCUUUAGAGCGAGCUCUGAUAGCGACUCGUAUAGUAUAGCCCAAAUAGGCCUAUAUUGGCCAUUUACACUUACACACACAUAUCCUAUGGAAUAGACUCUAAGCAGUACGAGUCAAGUUUCACACUCUCUAUACCAUAAGUACCUAUCACUCUAUUAAGGCUUAACGGCCUUUUAGUGUUCUCUAUGGAUGAGCGAUGGAUCUCUAGGCUCUGUGCAUCGUUGAAGGUCGCAGCGAAUUGCGUUAUAGUGGUCGUGUGAAUUGCAAGUCACAUUGGCCCUUACCGGCUGUGGAACACCUUACUUACCUAACACUCACACACGCCGUGCCACGCUUAACUGCAUUAAGGCACGGCGUGCCUGGCUGAGUAUGCCUUUAUGUCAUUUUUACUAUGCAUUGCGCAUAGCUUGUCAUCUUAUCUACCUAACUGUUGAAUAGGCUCUUAACCGCCUUGACAAAGAGAGAGAGACUCGUCUCUCUUUAUGCUUAUUAAGUCAGUUAAUUCCUAUAUCUUCGCUGCUUAUAGGAUCUGUCUUUCUUACGUGUGUAACUUCGUUUAACGCGAGGAUACUUGCUUCUUAGCCGACUGGACCGGGCAGUCUGUGUGAAUUGAUCCCAACAUUGUUAACGCUGUUAACUCGGCUUAACCAUACUCACACUCUCGCUAUUAACAAGAUACAUGCUUCUUAGCCGGCUGGACCGGGCAGUCUGUGUGAAUUGAUCCCAACAUUGUUAACACCGUUAAUUCGGCUUAACCAUACUCACACUCUCGCUAUUACAGCUUGGAUAAGAUAUUUGCUUACUGCUUUAUGCUAAAAGCUUCUAUCUUUAUCCUUUGCGUUAAACCUCUCACCACACCAUACCUACUUAACCCUAGG
rnacentral:rRNA from 1 species